rnacentral:rRNA from 1 species
UACGUAGGGUGCAAGCGUUACUCGGAAUUACUGGGCGUAAAGCGUGCGCAGGCGGUUUCGCAAGUCAGAUGCGAAAGCCCCGGGCUUAACCUGGGAACUGCAUUUGAAACUACGAGGCUAGAGUGUGUCAGAGGGGGGUAGAAUUCCACGUGUAGCAGUGAAAUGCGUAGAGAUGUGGAGGAAUACCGAUGGCGAAGGCAGCCCCCUGGGCUGAGAUUGACGCUCAGGCACGAAAGCGUGGGGAGCAAACAGG